UCCUUCUGUUCCGGGAGGAACUCCCUCCCUGGGGUGCCUGCCCCUUCCCUCCCGCGUUCCUAAUCAGCGGCCCACACCUGACCACACACAGCGCGCUCUGGACACUCCUGUGUGACCCUCGGUGCCUGGCCUGCCUCGGGGCUGGGGUCUGCACGGCCAGGAGGUCCCCCCAUCCCACGCAGCAGCCUGCGCCAUGCGACACGCUCCAGAAGCUCCCGAAGCUCGCUGAAUGCGAGAAGGAAGAAAUGCUGGUGAUGAAAAACGGGGCAAAAUCCUGGAUCCAAAUCCUUCUCCUCCCGGUUCCCCAACAUGGACUCCUCUCCUCACUUCAGCUCCCACACCUGCAGGAGGGUGAACCCCAACCAGCCCCCCACCCCCACGGCGUCAAGGCCACACCUGACCCCGGCCCGUCAAACACAAACCCGAGGCGAAGAGGGUGCACCCAGCGCUGGCAGGACCGGCCUGGGCCCCCUCGGCGCGCGGACCUGUCCGUGCUCUUGUCUACAUUCUGUGAAGCAAGAGGGCACCACAUCAGGGAAACCUCUCUCUCUUUGGACCAAAGCAUCACCAUCUUUUGCGAGUCUGAAUUCUUACCAUGUUUAAAGGCAGAGCAUUGUCCAGAGCCUUCGAUGUAUGCAUUGAUUCUAGGCCUUUAUAAAAUAGGUCGUUAACUCACCUGUUUAUUUCAAGGUACAUGCUACAGCAAUUUUGAUAUUGAGAAUGAGUCAGAACGGUUGCAAGGAGCACUCGAAUCAUAUCUUUGGAUCAAAAUACACAUUUCGUAGCGUGACUCACUCAACAAGGAUUUACUCAGAACCUCGGGUGCACCUGCAUCAAGCCAGGCCGCCUCUCACACAGAUGCCGCUCGGAAAAGGACCGAAGAAGUGCGUGUCUUAUGUCCAAGGGUGUCCCCAAAAACUGUAGACACACUUGAACAGCGGAUAGCCCAGUUUUGAAAAUGAAAUGCCUUUAUUACUCCAAAGAAAGUAAUUCAGCCAAGACAACCAGGAAAUUCUAUCUGCAGAGGUGAAAUUCUAUCUGAACAAAAAAAUCAUCCUUACUACGUUGCCACCUCACACACCACUGCCACUAUGGACGGAGCGUAUUUUCAACGCUUUCUAUUUUAUAAGGUUACUCAAGUAACCUGGAGGCUGCAUCGCAGUCAAAUUGACACUGAGCUUAAUGAAGACAUGUAGGCUGACGAUGUGUCAAAAUCACAACGAAGCCACAACACCCCCAAAACAGCCCGACCCCCACCAGAGGGGAAUCAGCCAGCAGGGGGGCCACGAGCGGAUGGAAAGGACAGGCAUCGGAAGAGAGAAGUGACCGCACCUCGACCGCUGCCGGCUCCUUGCAAAGCCUCAAGGGGCACCACGGCUCCUCUCUGGGGAGACGCCUGGUUUGUUUUUGGUGCUGAGCGAAGGAUGAGGUCGAAGACGCACAGGAACCCUUGUCGGCCAUCACUGCUGGUCCUGUGGGCCUUCUCUGAGCAGAACACGGCGCAGGCACCCAGGGCGAAGGGGGGUCAAAGGAGCAGCCCCGGCCUCGCUCUGUCGCCAGGAAGACGCGUGAAGCUCACGAGGUUUAGAAAGCGGCUUCAUCAGAUGAAUAAACAGUCUUCGUGUUUCCCGACUGAUUCUCCUCCUGGCCGCCCGUUCUGAAGAAACAGGUCUAAAUCCAGAAAUGAGCUAUUUAUACAGGAGUCAUUCAAGCGGAGUUCAUAGAGACGGGGCAUUUGAACUACUGGAAGGGCUCAGAGGCCAGGCUCAGGGCCCAGAGGCUCCGUUACCACAUGCCAGUCUGGAGGAGUGGUGACGUGAGGGAAGAUGCUGAAAAACAGUAGGAUGCAAAAUCCCAGUGUCCAUUUUGUUCUUAAAAAGCAUCUCUGUACAGGGAGGGCAAAGGUAGGGUUGCAGUUGUUCAUAAGGAAAAUAAUUAUCAAUAAUACUGGUAAUACAAUAAACUCUGUUUCGUGUACUCAUAACUGUAAACCUACUUUUGCCCACCCUGUAGAGAGAGAUAUACCUAGAAAAAUACAGGAAGGAAAUAUAGAAAAAUGUUAAUAUAUAACAGUGAUUUUAUAUCUAGGUGUCAGGAAUUAAAGGUGAAUUUUUACUUCCA